AGGAGGAACAACCACAGUGGUGCCGGCCAGCUCUGGAGCCCUGGAUUCAGCUCCCACAGUAACUAUGGAGCUCUCUGUCUGCAGGGGUCUGGAUGUUCCUGGGGCGGG
rnacentral:pre_miRNA from 1 species